AGACAAUGAUGAGGGCAAUGCCAAAGUAAUUCUUUAUAUCUUUCCCAAGCCUCAUAUAACAAUUCAAAAUCUUGCUACAAGAAUGAUGUGAUAUCAUUCCUCAUUUU
rnacentral:snoRNA from 1 species